rnacentral:rRNA from 1 species
GGCCCUAAUACAUGCAGUCGAGCGGACAGAAGGGAGCUUGCUCCCGGAUGUUAGCGGCGGACGGGUGAGUAACACGUGGGUAACCUGCCUGUAAGACUGGGAUAACUCCGGGAAACCGGAGCUAAUACCGGAUAGUUCCUUGAACCGCAUGGUUCAAGGAUGAAAGACGGUUUCGGCUGUCACUUACAGAUGGACCCGCGGCGCAUUAGCUAGUUGGUGAGGUAACGGCUCACCAAGGCGACGAUGCGUAGCCGACCUGAGAGGGUGAUCGGCCACACUGGGACUGAGACACGGCCCAGACUCCUACGGGAGGCAGCAGUAGGGAAUCUUCCGCAAUGGACGAAAGUCUGACGGAGCAACGCCGCGUGAGUGAUGAAGGUUUUCGGAUCGUAAAGCUCUGUUGUUAGGGAAGAACAAGUGCAAGAGUAACUGCUUGCACCUUGACGGUACCUAACCAGAAAGCCACGGCUAACUACGUGCCAGCAGCCGCGGUAAUACGUAGGUGGCAAGCGUUGUCCGGAAUUAUUGGGCGUAAAGGGCUCGCAGGCGGUUUCUUAAGUCUGAUGUGAAAGCCCCCGGCUCAACCGGGGAGGGUCAUUGGAAACUGGGAAACUUGAGUGCAGAAGAGGAGAGUGGAAUUCCACGUGUAGCGGUGAAAUGCGUAGAGAUGUGGAGGAACACCAGUGGCGAAGGCGACUCUCUGGUCUGUAACUGACGCUGAGGAGCGAAAGCGUGGGGAGCGAACAGGAUUAGAUACCCUGGUAGUCCACGCCGUAAACGAUGAGUGCUAAGUGUUAGGGGGUUUCCGCCCCUUAGUGCUGCAGCUAACGCAUUAAGCACUCCGCCUGGGGAGUACGGUCGCAAGACUGAAACUCAAAGGAAUUGACGGGGGCCCGCACAAGCGGUGGAGCAUGUGGUUUAAUUCGAAGCAACGCGAAGAACCUUACCAGGUCUUGACAUCCUCUGACAACCCUAGAGAUAGGGCUUUCCCUUCGGGGACAGAGUGACAGGUGGUGCAUGGUUGUCGUCAGCUCGUGUCGUGAGAUGUUGGGUUAAGUCCCGCAACGAGCGCAACCUU